CCUCUUGUAGCGUAGCGGAUAGUGCAUUGGUACGUAAAGUCAAAGGUCCCGAGUUCGAGUCCUGGCGAGGGUG
rnacentral:tRNA from 1 species